GCUAUUUAGGCCGUUGACAUUCAUAGAGAGACAUUUAAAUUGGUACGUCAUCUUAAAGAGAUAUAUAAUAAAGCUUGUUGGUCACAGCAUACUGUCUGCCAGCGACACUCAUGGGACCUGUGGAUAGAUGGUGCGUAGUGUAGAAUAAGGGAAGAUCAAAUGGCUGAGUACGACCUGCACAGACAUGGGACAACGGAGCUGCCAAGGGGAUGGGAAGGGAAUUAACAGGAAAGACAAAAUCAACAAACAAAGGUAUAUACAUUAACUCUCUCUGGGACGAGAGAAAAUACUGGGAUCCGGAGGGGAGCCUAAAGCUCCAAAUACCUCGGAUACCUUUGGG